AACAAAAAGGAGCAAAAUCAAACUCUCUGUUUUCUCUCUCCACAUUAUAUUUCAUUUAUUAUUAAUCCCUUUCUAUCCUUUCCUCGUUUCUCCUGCUCUCAUUUUGGAUUAGGGUUUCGCUCUGCUCUUCUUUCACUUUGAAGCUUAAACCCUAAUCUCUCCGAUCCUCCCGCCAACUAGCCGUUAGCUCUGUUUCCCGCCACAUUUCUAUAUCAUCCUAGCCGUUGUUUCACCUAUAUUUGAAAUACUAGCCGUUAGAUCUGUCUUUCACUUUGUUCCUUGCAUACCUGGUAGUUUGACCGGAAAUGUCGGCCGCUGAAGCAGGGAAGAAAGAGGUAGAGGAGAAGGGAGGGGAGCUCUUAUUUUGUGGCGCCACUUGUUGGAAUACCAUUGGUCGCAAGAAAGGUUCCCAGGAAGGCAACUUGGUCUCUCCUACUCGGCUCCGUCCGCUCGUCGGCGUCGAUAUUCGUUUUGUUGCCUCUGGAUGUGCGUCCUGUCAUUGUGUGGCUCUGGAUGUGGAAGGGCGUUGCUAUACAUGGGGCCGCAAUGAGAAGGGGCAACUUGGUCAUGGGGACACAAUUCAGCGUGAUAGGCCAACAAUUGUUUCUGAACUUUCGAAGUACAAAAUUAUUAGUGCUGGAUCAGGGAGGAGCCACACAGCAGUGGCCACAGAAGAUGGUCAAUCCCUUGCAUUUGGUUGGAAUAAACAUGGACAGCUGGGUUCUGGUUCAGUAAGAAAUGGUAAUUCUGUUUUGGAUAAAUUUCAUUCCAUGACUACCCCUUUUGAUCAAAUUUUGACUUUGCUGGAAAGAAUGCAUUUUUCAUGUUUUCCUAGAAGGCAUUUGAAAUAUAGUUUCUGUUCAUUGUUUGUGUUACAUUUUCAGAUUGAGCAACAAAAAACCUUUGUGCAACUUCUGUUUAGUCUCAUUUAUAGUGUUCAUUAAUCUAGUGUGUUUCCAUAUUUCACUAUGAAUAAAUUUAUUUCUAGAUAUCAACCUUCUGGAUUAUACUUUUGCUCUAUCGCUUUAUAGAAAUUGAGUCAUCUCCUGUCCGCUGUCUCGUGUCUGAUGUCAAGAAAACUGCCUGUGGAGCUGAUUUUACUGUCUGGUUAUCAUCUGUUGAAGGAGCUUCUAUACUGUAUGGUUUGUGGAUCAUUUUAGUCCUGUUUUUCAGUCUUCAACUAAUUAAUUUAAUGUCCUAUGGCUCUUUUUCUUCUUAGGUCACUUUUGUUUCUGGUUUGCAGAACUGCAGGCCUUCCACAGUAUGGUCAGCUUGGGCAUGGAACGGACAAUGAGUAUAAUACUAAAGAGAGCUCAGUCAGGCUUGCUUAUGAAGCCCAGCCACGGCCUAGAGCAAUUGCUUCUCUUGCUGGGGAAACUAUUGUAAAAGUUGCAUGUGGAACUAACCAUACAGUGGCUGUGGAUUCAAAUGGCUAUGUUUACACGUGGGGCUUCGGUGGUUAUGGAAGGUUUGUUCCUGCUAUUUCAUGUUGGCCUUUACAAGGGCAUGAAUAAAACAUUGUAGAGUAUUGGAUAAGCUUUAAAGAAUUUAGAAGCUUUUGCUCGGUCCCCAAUAUUCUUGUUUGCUUUCUCAUUGACAUGCAUGUGAUUUUCUGAUUCGUGAUUCAUAGGCUUGGACAUAGAGAGCAAAAGGAUGAAUGGGUUCCUCGUCGUGUGGAUGUCUUUUCAAAGCAUAAUGUUCUACCUCCUAAUGCAGUAAUUUCUGCUGGUUCUGUAAACUCUGCAUGUACUGCAGGUAUUAUAUGUUUUUCAUUGUCUCUUUCAUUGACCUUUAGCAGGUAAAAACAUUUUCUUUUCUAAUCAAUCCUUGUAAAUUACAUCUUUCCUUAAGAUGGUUGAUGAUUUAUUAUCUUCCUGGUAGUGAUCUACUUUUGUGGUUAUUGAUUUUAAUUAUUCACUUGGCUGUCCAAUUCUGUGUUCCCUAGUCCUGACAGCCUGUUGCUCAUACAAACAAGUGUUGACAAUUAUCAGUUUUAUUUGUAUUCAGGAGGUGGACAGUUGUACAUGUGGGGUAAAAUGAAGAACACUGGUGAUGACUGGAUGUAUCCUAAACCUCUAAUGGAUUUAAGGUUCUUAGCGGCCAUUAUUAUAUUUAAAAUUUUUUAUAUUCUUCUCUCUGUUCAAAUUUAUAUAUAUCUAUACGGUUCAGGUUUUGAUUUUUUUUUUAAUGUUUAAUUGUUUUAUUUUUAGCCAAGGCAUAUAAUUCCUUAUCAUAGGGUGAUGUUUAUUUUUGAUGUUUAAUUGUUUUAUAUAUAUAUAUAUAUAUCGUCUCUGUUCACAUUCGGCAUUCCAUAUUUUUAGCCGAGGAAUAUACACGUUUAUUAUUAUUUUUUUUUUGUGUUCCACUGUUUUUAUUAUAUGAUGAUCCUAUUCUGCAUUUUUAUUUAGGCCCAAUCUGUUUGACAUUUUAUUUCUGGUUAUAGGAGCAGACAUUCUCAAAAUAUAUGGUGCUUUGUUUCUGAUAAUAAAUAUUUAAGUCUUGCCUGAGACUAGGUUCACCAGCAAAUUUUGUAUUCAUGUGGAUAAGCUGUAUCAGUUUCCAGUUACCAGAUUGCAAACGUCAGAAUGGUUUUGAAUGAACAACCUUUUUUUCAAUAAUAAAUUCCCAAAAGUGUAGAUGCAAGUGUACAAGUCCUGGAUGCAUACUGAACUUUAAUAUUUUUUGCUGCUUAUAUGGUGAUGGAUUAUAAAAUCCUUGGGAUCUGAAUCAAUUUUGAUGAAUUUUCUGUUGAAGUAUAUGAGGUACUGUGCUGCACGACAAAUUUUACUUGUUUUGUUAUUAUUUUGUUGCCUAUACUGUGUGAAUCAUUUUUAGAACAAAGGUCAUAUUGUUGUUAGAGUGAGAAUAUAUCUUGUAGAUGUUGUUACUUGAGCACUGAACGUGAUGUCUGAAUACAAAUAUUAGACAUCUAAAGUUCUCUCUUGCUGUCUCACUCCCUCUGACGUUCUUCUCAUCCUCCUCUGUCCUUCUUCACAUCCUCCUCCUUGGCUUUUUGCUGACUUAUAGUUUACAAUCAGUUUAAAAUAGUUUCGCCAUCUGACAUGGACUUGGAUGAUGUGCAUGUCCUCUUAUGACUCUUGGUUGACUGAUGGUUUGUAGCCCUUAUUAUGCACCUUUACUGUGACGCUUGAGUGCCCAGCUUCUCAAUUUUCCCUGGCAACUCAAAACAUGUUAGAGAGAAACUCUUUCUACCCUGACUCUGUGUGGUUCUUUUCUGCUAUAUGGUACGAAGGUUUCUGGGCCUCCAACCUUAGUGAUGAUUCACCAUAAAAAUCACAUGAAUUUUCUGAAAGCAUCUGCAUCAGAGACUGCUGGGUGAAUCUGUCUUUAUCGGUGCCUGUUUCUGCCUGGUAUCUCCAACAUAAUGCUGAUAUUCUGCUCAAAUGAGCCUAUGUUAUUUUCAUUGUCCGUGUGCGUUUAUAUUUUUUUUCACUGAUGGUCAGAGAGUUCUGUGUCAUGCUGGUUCUCAUUUGAUUAAAUGUGAAUCUAAUAAGGUAGCAGAAAUUGCACAGUUUAUAGUCUUACAGCAUGGCAACAGGAUUUGUACUUCACUGGUCAAGGUUCAAAAUGUAAUUACUAUGGUCUCUUAUUUGAUGGUUGUUUUAAAAUCUGAUAGGAGUUUGGUUACAGCCUUAAAGAAUCCAUUAAUUUCCCUUACUUCAAAAUGUUUUGUUAUAAGAUAUUGUCUUUAUAUGUUUCUGGUUUUCAUUUUGGGGAUUCUUAUAUUUUUAUUUAUUUAUUUUAUUGUAGCAGCUUUACUAGGACUUUUAACAUGUUGUUUAUUUGUCUAUGGAGUUCAAUUAAUUGAGUUUAAUAUGCAAAUAACAAUUUUAAUGGACAAUUGUUGCUUUUCUUUUCUUUUCCUUUUCAUUUGGUGCAGUGGUUGGAAUUUGCGGUGUAUGGAUUCUGGCAG
rnacentral:misc_RNA from 1 species